GACAGAGGGGGCAAGCGUUGCUCGGAAUUACUGGGCGUAAAGGGCGCGUAGGCGGGAUGGCAAGUCGGUCGUGAAGUGCCUCGGCUCAACUGAGGAUCGUCGAUCGAUACUGCCGUUCUUGAGGAUUGCAGAGGAGACUGGAAUUCCCGGUGUAGCGGUGAAAUGUGUAGAGAUCGGGAGGAACACCGGUGGCGAAGGCGGGUCUCUGGGCAAUUCCUGACGCUGAGGCGCGAAAGCGUGGGGAGCAAACGGG
rnacentral:rRNA from 1 species